GCUUGUCUCAAAGAUUAAGCCAUGCAUGUCUAAGUAUAAACGAUUUUAUACGUGAAACUGCGAAUGGCUCAUUAUAUCAGUUAUAGUUUAUUUGAUGGUCCUUACUACUUGGAUAACCGUAGUAAUUCUAGAGCUAAUACAUGCAUCAAGCCCUGACUUCGGAAGGGGUGUAUUUAUUAGAUGGAAACCAAUGCGGGGCAACCCGGAAAAUGGUGAUUCAUAAUAACUUAACGAAUCGCAUGGCCUUGCGCCGGCGAUGGUUCAUUCAAAUUUCUGCCCUAUCAACUUUCGAUGGUAAGAUAGUGGCUUACCAUGGUCUCAACGGGUAACGGGGAAUUAGGGUUCUAUUCCGGAGAGGGAGCCUGAGAAACGGCUACCACAUCCAAGGAAGGCAGCAGG
rnacentral:rRNA from 1 species